rnacentral:lncRNA from 1 species
ACUAAAGCUAAUUAUUUUACAGUGUGCAAAUAAUAUGAUUGGGGCGGGGGAGUGAAGAGAGAAAAUGGAAAAGCAUCUCAAGAUGUGAGUAUUGCUUCUCCAAAAAGGGCUCUAACAACCUCAGAGAUUGCAAUUCCUUACAUGCAAUGGAAUGCCAAUGGAUUUUCAGUGGAACUUUUAAACACAGGCAUUAAAUACAUGAGGACACAGCCAAUGGUG